rnacentral:tRNA from 1 species
UAGAAAAAAGCUCGCUGGAUAGAGUUUUUAGCUGUUAAUUAAAAUUUUAUGGGAUCGAGGCCCAUUUUUCUAG